rnacentral:rRNA from 1 species
UACGUAGGGUGCAAGCGUUAAUCGGAAUUACUGGGCGUAAAGCGUGCGCAGGUGGUUGUGCAAGACAGAUGUGAAAUCCCCGGGCUUAACCUGGGAAUUGCAUUUGUGACUGCACGGCUAGAGUGUGGUAGAGGGGGAUGGAAUUCCGCGUGUAGCAGUGAAAUGCGUAGAUAUGCGGAGGAACACCGAUGGCGAAGGCAAUCCCCUGGGCCUGCACUGACACUCAUGCACGAAAGCGUGGGGAGCAAACAGG